UGCACUGUUCCAGACUAGUUUCAAUUCUUUUGUAGCCAAGUUCUUUUCUUAUUUUUGCAAGCCUAUUGCAACAACAUUCCUUCCUUGAAAUUUGAGAUUCCGGUCACCUACAAUCAUGCAUAUGAUCUAAGCACACAAAUUAUUCUAAAUCAACUAAAAUUUAUUAAAAUAAACUAAAAUAGAUGUUUAUACAAAAUAUAAUUAAAAUACAUAAAAACGUGUCAUUUACUCUCUAAGUAAUCUUGAUUCAAGUUGAAAAGUGUUAUGAUAACUCUCAUUUCAUAGAGUUAUCAUUAAUUCAAGAACAAAAUGGAAUCUUACAAGAUACUAUAAUUUGCUAUAAUGAAAAGAAAAAUAAUAAACUUCAAUCAAUGUCAAGGCCAAUAUUCAACAAAAUAAAUGGGAACAAAAAAUUAAUAAGUUUGAGAAUGUUAAGAGAGAACACAAACAAUGGAUUAAAAGAAUUAUCUAAUCUAGAGUUAUUCGAUAAAGAUAAAGAGCCUUAAACUGAUGAAGAGGAAGAUAUAUUUAUAAGAUAUUGAAUUUAGGAAUGAACAUCUAAAGAUGAAUGGGUCAAAGCCAAGAGUUUUUUAACAAGAAGAAUCUAGCAAUAGAGCUUCUUAUGCUAGAGAAGAGAUACCAACUAAUGAAAGAACACAGAGUCAAUAUUUUAGGUCAAAUCUAAAAAAUGAAUACAAAAUUCUAGGAGAAUACAAAGAAAGGCUAAUUAGUCAUGAUGGUAUAUGGUUAGAUAUAGACCCUGUCAAAGAUAGAGAUAAAGUGAUUACAACUUGGGUUAAAUCUAUGAAAAUUGUUCUUAUUUUUCAUAAACUAGAUAGACAUAAUAGCAUAGAAUUCCGUAAAACUUUGUUUAUAGGAAUAAUAGUACAAUGGUUUAUGGGAUUAAAGGAUACUAGUAAACAUAGAAUAUUGUAUGGAGAAAAUAAUGAUCUAAAUGAGAAUCAAGAACAUAUCUUAAAUAGAUUUGAAAAUGAAAUAAGAAAAGAAUUCUUAGGAGAAGAUUGAGAAAAUGAUUUUCAGCAAGAAAUAAAGAGAAAAAGGAUGGAAAAUGUAAUAAAGCUAACGAGACUUCAAAUAUGUGAUUUAAUUUUUUUAGAGGCAUACACGUGUAGCUUCAAAGAAUUAUAUUAUAAAUGUGAGUUUGGUAGUGAUGAAAAUACAAUAGGGUAUUAUAAUGAUUUAUAUUUUAUAAAAAUACCAAACCCAUGGGAUAAGAGGAAUAUGCUAGAAUAUAGUAAAGAAUAUGGAGAUUGUACAAACACUGGUACCUUAGAAAAUAAGAUUGGGUUUGCUCGAAAUAGGAUAAAUUAGUAGUAUGCUAAAAUAAGGGAUAAAAAGACUUAUGAAAAAAGCAAAAUCGAGAAUUAUGUUGUUCUAAGUUAGAAGAACCACCAAGACUUGGAUGCUCAGAUAAAACCUAUAAACAUAGGAAAAAAUUUAAAAAAGAAAAAAUUCUUUGAAACCAAUAAGAAAUAUUAUAACAAAACUCUUCAAAAUGAAUAAAUUUAUAACAAAAUCUAAAACCAAUGCACCCAAAAAGUAUAAAUGAUGGUUAUGCAAUGAAUAAGGGCAUUAUGCAAACGAAUGUCCUAAAAAGAAAAAAGUAAAUUUCAAAAUGUUUGACGAUUUUAGUGAUUUAGAAUUAAUCACUGAUAGUGAAGAUAUUAGUAAUAAUCAUAACAUAUACUAUCUAUCUGAUGAGACAUUGAGUAGCUCAGAUUCAGAUUGAGUAUAGAAAAAUUACACAAUAAAUAUUUAUAUUAAGAUGAAGAACUAGAGAACAAGGUUUUUUUAAUAGAGAAUUAAGUUUUGAUAAUAAACAAUACCUCAAAAUUAAUAAAAAGGGAAUCGAAACAUUUGUGACUUUAGUCAAUAAGUUAACUCAAUGAAUUGCUAACAUUAUUAAAAUAAAAAAUAUAAUGUAUUUCAGUGCCACUGUGAGGGAAGAAUCUUUUGAAAUUAGACAUACCUGAGGAAAUACAAAUAUACAUUUGUUAUUAAAAUCAGAUGUAGGAGAUAAAAUCAAUAAGAUAAGGUCUAAUGAUAGACCCAAGAUUGGAUAUGUUCAUAUUGGAGGAAUCCAAAUUAUGAUAAAAGCUUAAUUUUGAGAAUGAAUAAAUAGUCCUGUAAAUUUAGCUAUACUAGAUAAUAGAAUAAAUGAUCGAAAACAUGCACUCAAUGGAAUAAUACAAGGAAACCUAAGUUAUAAAAAUUUAAUAUUUUAGACAUAUCCUAAAUAUUUUGUAAGUUUUAUAGACAAAAAUAUAAAUAAGACAUUAACCCUAUAUCAUGAUUUUAAAUACUUUGAUAUAAUGCAUGAUGGAUCUUAUCCAUAUAGCAUAACAUACGCCAUAGAAUAUGCAUUGACAAAUUCGGCUAAUAGUGAAAUGUUUGCCGAUAAAGAACUUAAUGAAAUUGAUAAACUAUUUAAUAAAGUUGGAGAGAUAAAUCUCCUAAAAUUUUGAGGGAAAUUGUUUUGCCAGAAAAAUGGGAAAUUGAUCUAAAUAGUCAACCUACUCUGAUUAGGGAAAAUACUGCUAAAUCUAUAUAAUAUACUCCAUAUGGAAGAAUCAUUAUAGGAAAUAGAAGAUCAUUCCCUAUGCCUAAAAGAGAACUAGAAUUAAGUAAAAUAUAAAGUUUUACUAGAUGUAUCCAUCUUAUGAUACCAAUAUCACAUGAAAUACUAGCAACGAUUUGAAAACAUAAUCAAAAUCUAAAAAUUAAGAUUGAAUAGAAUAAUGGAAAGUCAUGUCAUGAACUUUUACUAUCCUUGAUGCAAGAGUUGUAAACUCUUAUGUAGAUGCCAAAAUGAUUAAAUAUUUAGAAAGAAAUAUUCUAAUUGAACCCCAUAAAUAUAUGAGAUAUAAUGGAGAAAGAAAGAUGCCAAGUCAAUAUUGUGAGAUACCAUUGAGGAUUAAAGGAAUGAAUUUUUAUCUUUCCUUUUUUCAUAGAACUUGAUUAUAAAAUAGAAAUAAGUCCUGUAUUAUUAAGGAUGAACUUUCUUGAAAAUUUCUCUCCUUACUGUAUAAGAGACAAAGAAAUAAGCAUAACAAUUGAAGGAAUUAAGCAAAUCAUAUCAAGAUGUAUCUAAUCCUUUUAUAAUAUAUAUGAAAGUGAUUAUACCAUGUUAUAAGUAUAAACCAUAAUGGUUCCAUGCUUUAAUUUUAAUACUGGUUUAGGAGUUAGUUUAGCUAAUUCCAGGAUUUAUCCAAAAUCUUAUUGGAAAGACUAUAAGCCCUUAAUAAGACAAGGAAUAAAUGGUGAAUAAAUUACCUUUAGAAAAUGUAGGAUUAAAACCUUAAUACAAAUAAAAGAUUAUAUUCUAAGUAUACCUAUAUUAUGGUAUUAUGAUCAUAUGGGUGCAAAUAUAUUUUUAGGAGUUAAUUUCCUUUAUUAGUUAUAUAAUGACUAACGAAACAAUUACUUUUAAAACACCAUGUAUUCAUUCUAUUAUAACACCAAGGAUUUACAACCCUGUUAGGUGAACAACUUGAAAGCUACAUUUUUUAAGCAGCCAACGUGGUGAUUUUAAUAUAAAAAUCAAUCAAAUCAUAUUUGAUUAUGAAAAAAUCUUAGAAGAACUUGAUAAACUUUUGGUGAAAACCCAGUUCAAUUAUGAAAAAUUGAGAAAAUUUAUGCCAAAAUAAAAUUAAAAGAUCCAUAUGUCAUCAUAAGAGUUAAGCCUAUGAUAUAUGGGCAAGAAGAUAGACUAGAGUUUGAUGACAAAUUAAAGAGUUACUAGAACUGAAGAUUAUUUCAGAAUCUAAAACUCCACAUAGUAGCCAGCCUUUAUGGUUAGGAACUAUGUAGAGAUUAAAUGAGGAAAAGCCUAAAGAAUUAAAUAAAUAUACCAAAUUUGAUGGGUUGAUCAUAUUAAUCAUCUUGUUUCUUUUGUAGAAAAAUGCAAGAAAUAUGGAAUAUUACUUUUUUAAAAAGAAAGUUGAGAUAAUGAAACCUAGAAUAAAAAAAAUAUAAUCAGAUAAAUUAGAGUCCAAAGAACAAAUUCAAUGAUUUUUAGAACGUUUUAAUUAUGCUAAAGGAAUCAUAGAAAACUUAGAUAAAGAAAAACAACCAUUAUAAGGAUUAUUGAAAAAGUAUAAUAAAAAAUCUUGGAUUCCUUUUGAACCAUGUAGUUAUAUAUUUGGAUUAGUUUAUAGCAUAUCCACAAUUGAUUGUUGCACUUAGAUGUUUUUUGUUACUUCCAUUCUUGAUGCCUAUCACAUGUCAGUUAAAGAGCAAAAAUUGUACAUGUUCUUGACUGAUCAGUGCUCUUUCUUAUAACGGGUUCGUGACUAAUGUUCACUUUCUUAUUUGAUUUUGUUUAUGCAGUUCCUGUAGCAAGAUUGUGUAAUUUGAUUAUUCAGAUGCUUCCAUAGCUGACGGCUUCGCGAGAUAUUGAGUCUCCCUAGCUUUGUGUCGCUAGUGAAUACUUUUGUGGGUCUUUUAAUAUACGUGUGGAGGAGUGGAAUACAGCCGAUAUUUUUCAUGGUCGUUUAACAAUAUGAUUAACCUAUAACUAUAGUAUACCAAGCCACCCCCUUUCCCUAUUAAACCCUGUGCGAAAUUGAAUAUUCCAAUAGAUUUUUACAUUGUAGUUUUGUUUAUCUAUAAUGUUUUCAACAAAUUUUCAUUAAGAUCUGAUUCAAAUUAAUUGAGUGGUUAUGAUCGAAUCCAACUUAGGAAGAUCUUUAUACUAAGGUAGUAAAUAGGUAAAAAGAAAAAAAUGUAAAAAUCUAUCAAGAUUAGGAUUUUCUACUACUAGUGAUAAUUUAAUUCUUGAAACAGAUGCUUCAUAUAAUUAGUGGAGUGCAGUACUAAAAUAUAUAUCAAGAAAAGAUUUGUAGAUAUACUAGCAGAACAUUUAAACCCGCAGAAAAGAAUUAUCAUAACAAAGAAAAGGAAGGAAGUUUUAGCUAUUAAAAAUGGAAUAGCCAAAUUUACUUUCUUUUUAUUACCAAAGAAAUUUAAGGUACGAUAUAAUAAUACUCAAGUCAAAGGAUUUAAAUUUAAUAAAUUGCCUAAUCUACCUCAAUAUAAAAGAUUAAUUAAAUGGCAAUAAUUCUUUGUUGAAUAUGAUUUUGAAAUUGAGUAUAUUAAAGGAUCUAACAAUUGCAAUGCAUAUUUCUUUAGUCGAGAACACAAUGGAGAAAAGUCUUUCCAAAAUAAUAAAGGGCAUAAUGAUGUACUUUGAAGGUCAAGAAUUGCUUCUCAAGGGCAAUGGCGUGAUUUAUAAUGGGUUUGCUGUGAUAAAUGAUGCCCAUGAAAAGUUAAACAAACUUUUUCUGGACAAAAGUUUGCAAAAUCAUCCAAAAGUCUAGACUUCAUAACAAUAUACUAGUAACAUGCUUAAAAAGGUCAAUUUCAAGGAUAAAUUGAGGACAAAUUACCCAAAGCUCUUCACAUAAUUCAAAGAUCACAUAUUUAGAGAAAUUUCUCAUAAUUAAUGAUCUUAAAUAGCAAUAUAUAAAGAAAAAAUGUUUUCAAAACUCUUCAAUAAGCUUAAAACUUCAAUUUAACCAAAGCGGAUAGUCUAUUCUGAUGGUUAAAAUCCCAUUAGAAAAUGACUAAGCUUAUGAUUAUAAAAGUAUUGGUAAAAUAGCUUAUCGAAUUUGUCCAAGACAGGGAUGUACCCAAAUAUUAACUUUGUUCUAAGAGCUGAUUCAAAAUUGAUAAAAGAAAUGUAUGAAUAUAGUUUUCUUAACUGUGUUUAUGUCAAUGAUGAUUGUAUAAUAUUUUUUAUGAGCAGCAAAGAAAGCAUAUUAGCCAAGCAGACAAUAUUGAAAAUGAAAAAGGCAAUAUAUGAAAAUCUUAUAGAAUCUAACUUGCCAACAUACCAUGAGAUAUGGAAGUUGCUAAAGCAUCAAUCAUCAUGUGGCUAUUACUACGAAAGAUCAAAAGAGGAAUCUAGCGAGGAGGACAUGUCGCUCAAUGAAGAGCUCAUAAUAAGCAUGUGAUAG
rnacentral:lncRNA from 1 species